rnacentral:rRNA from 1 species
UCGUAAAAUUUUUUAAUAUUCAUGAUGUCGUAUGGGAAAAUAAUGAUAAUACCUUACUAUGAGUGUCGUCCAAAUCUGGUGCCAGAAGACUCGGUAAGACCAGAGACGCAAACGUUAAUCAUCAUAAACAGGCGUAAAGGGUUUGUAGGCAGCUUUUAUAGGAUUAUUAUAAAAAGGUAAUUUAAAUUAAAAGCUAGAAUCAAAAAGAGGUUAUAGUGUAUAACGCCUAGAGGAGGGCUGAUAUCCGUAGAUCCUAGGCAGAAUACUCAGGGCGAAGGCCACUCUCCACUAAUGAUUGACGCUGAGAAACGAAGGUUAGGGUAGGAAAUAGGAUUAGAUACCCCGGUACUCCUUUCUGUAAACGAUGAAUGGUAGUCAUUAGUAAAAAUAACUAGAGGCGAAGUUAACACAAUAACCAUUCCGCCUUGUGAGUACUACUGCAAAGUAGAAAACAAAAAAAUUAGUCGGUCUCGAAGCAAACGGAGUGAAGCAUGUUAUUUA